UACGUAGGUGGCAAGCGUUGUCCGGAAUUAUUGGGCGUAAAGCGCGCGCAGGCGGUCCUUUAAGUCUGAUGUGAAAGCCCACGGCUCAACCGUGGAGGGUCAUUGGAAACUGGGGGACUUGAGUGCAGAAGAGGAGAGUGGAAUUCCACGUGUAGCGGUGAAAUGCGUAGAGAUGUGGAGGAACACCAGUGGCGAAGGCGGGUCUCUGGGCCGAAAUUGACGCUGAGGAGCGAAAGCGUGGGGAGCAAACAGG
rnacentral:rRNA from 1 species